rnacentral:ncRNA from 1 species
AAAUAUGGGAACUAAGAAGUAUAUCUUGUAUAUGGGCACUUGAGAUAUAUGGAGUUAAUAGUGCAACCGACUAUUCU